rnacentral:rRNA from 1 species
GUGGGGAAUUUUGGACAAUGGGCGAAAGCCUGAUCCAGCAAUGCCGCGUGUGUGAAGAAGGCCUUCGGGUUGUAAAGCACUUUUGGCAGGGAAGAAACAGUGCGUGCUAAUACCAUGCGCGAAUGACGGUACCUGCAGAAUAAGCACCGGCUAACUACGUGCCAGCAGCCGCGGUAAUACGUAGGGUGCAAGCGUUAAUCGGAAUUACUGGGCGUAAAGCGUGCGCAGGCGGCUUUGUAAGACGGAUGUGUAAGCCCCGGGCUCAACCUGGGAAGUGCAUUCGAUACUGCAAGGCUAGAGUCUGUCAGAAGGAGGUGGAAUUCCGCGUGUAGGAGUGAAAUGCGUAGAGAUGCAGAGGAACAACGAUGGCGUAGGCAGCCUCCUGGGAUAACACUGACGCUCAGGCACGAAAACGUGGGGAGCAAACAAGAUUAGAAACCCGUGUAGUCC